GUAGAAAAGGAGAGAUAGAGAGAGAUAGAGAGAGAAAAGGAGUCGGACUGAAUAGUAAACAUGAGGGAGGGAAAUUGAUUAACCACAACCGGUUUUUCCAGAAAUAUCAGACAACUCCUCAAGUGUUGUUCAUCUAAUCCAGAAAAGACGAACCCAAGAAGCUGGACAAGAGCCAAAGUUGGCAGUAGCCUACUAAUUAUAUAAAAAACGACUUGAUCACUUACUGAAACUCCCAAGGAUCCACAGCAGCGGUGUCAGUCCGCCCAGGAGCGAUGCCAUUCUCCCCGGUUCGGUGGAGUGGUCCGCCCGACUGCUCCUUGGUAGUCCUGAAUACGGCUAAAGGUGUGUGGUCUAUUACAAUGCUGGAAUCAGUCAGGACAUUGGUCCAAGAAGUCCCGCUCAACCUCAGACAGUCAACUUUUUUUCAUCCAAUUCCAAAUCGAAGACAAGAAGUGUAAAGAAGUGUAAAAGCAGUAUAGAUCUUAGGUAUAGCCAAAAUGUAUGAUUCAAUAAUGUGUUGUAUGCUGUUGUUGGCCCAUCUUACUCCAAUAAAUCCUUUGGAAAGUU